UGCCAGACUCCUACGGGAGGCAGCAGUGGGGAAUAUUGCACAAUGGGGGAAACCCUGAUGCAGCGACGCCGCGUGAGUGAAGAAGUAUUUCGGUGUGUAAAGCUCUAUCAGCAGGGAAGAAGAAGGACGGUACCUGAGUAAGAAGCCCCGGCUAACUACGUGCCAGCAGCCGCGGGAAUACGUAGGGGGCAAGCGUUAUCCGGAUUUACUGGGUGUAAAGGGGGCGCAGACGGCAGCGCAAGCCAGGAGUGAAAGCCCGGGGCCCAACCCCGGGACUGCUCUUGGAACUGCGCGGCUGGAGUGCAGGAGGGGCAGGCGGAAUUCCUGGUGUAGCGGUGAAAUGCGUAGAUAUCAGGAGGAACACCGGUGGCGAAGGCAGCGCACCGGCGCCCUACCGACGCUCAGGCACGAAAGCGUGGGUAUCGAACAGGAUUAGAUACCCCCGUAAC
rnacentral:rRNA from 1 species